GCUGCUGCAUCACGGCAGCUUCUCAGAGAGCUGCAGGCCACUGCUCCACAUGUACGACCAGGUGAUCCCUGCUGUACGAGACACGCUGAGGAAGAUCCCCGAGUUGAGCGAGAGCGAGGAGCUGGCAUUGGAAGAGAUCUGCCGCUCGGAGGGAGACGACACUGAUGACAUGGACACUGACACUGGUUCCUGACUGACUCCAUCAGUGACCAAUGAACAGACAAAAGACGGUUUACUGACGGUCAAUGUGAUGUUUCUGAGACUGAGACAAAGACAGACAGACCAGAGAGUCUGUUUUCAGUCAAACAUUCUUGAGUUAAAGUGGAUGUUGGAAAGAAAUGAAGGAUUAGAGAGAAAUCAGUGAUAUUAACUGAAGUGAUGAAACAGUUUACAGGAUUUAAUCUGCUGAUUUAACAAUAAAACAUUAAGGUAAGAAAAACUGAUGCAGUCAAUGUUCACGUUCACCUGCGGUAUAUUCUGUCUUCAGUCUUUCACCACCUCCUGUCUCACCUGUCCAUACUCUUCUUUAACAGUCAGGGCUGCUGCUUGUCUUGGACAUCUGUUAAAUAUGUAGUUACAGGUAGGUACACGUGCUAGGAACUAUUUGGAUAUUUUUCCACAAUUAUUAAUGUCUUUGCCUGCACCAAUACUUAAAAUACAUUUUCCUAAAAACACUUUUUUUCUGUACUUCUCUGUAAUACCCUAAAAACUUUCACCCAACUUUUAAACAGUCAUUUUUUAACAAAAUAAAAAUUUUAUCAAGUA